AUCAGAUAGCUACCAUAUUUGGAGGCAUCCCCAAUUAAAUCCAAGGAAGGAGGGGGUUGUAGCAUUGAAGCGAAGCUGUGCUGCUAUCCAGGUCUUAAUUCUUCCCUUCAGGAUCCAACUGCAGAAAAGGAGCCGAUGAGAACCAGCUCAAACACAUUGACCCUCAAAAUGGAAACUUCAUGUGGAAGAUGGAAAAAUUGCUCUAAGAGGUCUGAAUUACCUACUUCUGGACUAUUUAUUUGAGAAAGGAAACAAAAUCUAUCUUAAGCCAUUAUUUAAGGUCUCUGUACUAUUACAAAGGUUUGGACUGUAUCCAAUCCAAUCCAGAAAGUUGUCCUGAAGUGGUCUGCAGCUUUCACAAAACCCUAAAAUAUUUAGCACUGGCAUAGCAGUGGGUGAGGAUGACAUAUGUUGUGCACUGGAUUUUGGUUGUGAUAAGGUGGGAAUAAGACUAUACACCAACAAAGCAAAUAACAAGACACCCACCCUAGUUUUUCAUAUGAACAAAAGGAAACCAUCUUACAGUGCUGGAGAAAGGGUGAAACUGAGCACAGGGACCAAUAAAUGAGAACUUUAGGUUUAAGAAUUAUGUCUA
rnacentral:lncRNA from 1 species